rnacentral:rRNA from 1 species
AGACGGAGGGUCCUAGCGUUGUUCGGAAUAACUGGGCGUAAAGGGUACGUAGGCGGUUUGGUUAGUUAGAUGUGAAAGCCCAGGGCUCAACCUUGGAACUGCAUUUAAUACUGCCAGACUUGAGAUCGGAAGAGGAAAGCGGAAUUCCUAGUGUAGAGGUGAAAUUCGUAGAUAUUAGGAGGAACAUCAGAGGCGAAGGCGGCUUUCCGGUCCGAUACUGACGCUGAGGUACGAAAGCGUGGGGAGCAAACAGGAUUAGAAACCCUAGUAGUCC